GCCUGGCUGACUCAGUAGGUGGGGUGUGUGACUCUUGAUCUCAGGGUCGUGAGUUCAAGCCUCACGUUGGGUA
rnacentral:tRNA from 1 species